rnacentral:misc_RNA from 1 species
UGCUCUUUGCUUGCGCAACAACUGUCGACCACUCGUCUAUUUCAUUUUUGCCUCAAGAGCAAGAUUGCUUUUUUUGGGCACGACCCUCGGUUCCUGCAUUGGCUACCCAGUGUGGAAAGCGUCGUUAGUUUUCCCUUUCCUCCUUGUGGCCUUUGCGGUUACGAGGUGGACCUCGAAGCAGUUCUCGUGUUCCGGACAAAGCUUAUGACAUCUGUCAUGGUCGUCUUGGCCCACGGGUCUUCUGCUAGUGCUCUCGGAUGUGGAAAACUUUGCGGACAAUGGGGUUCUCGCCCUCUGGUUGCUCCGAAUCAAAGUACCUCAACGAAGAAUGACUCUCGCAACCGCAUUGACCAUGUGCCCAUCGGGCCGGUGGGAACAAAUGCUGUCGUGARGUCGAGAAAGAAUGCUACCUGG